AAAGCCAGCCCACUGCCCAACUCUAAAUUCUAAUCCCUUUCUCUCUCGGACUCUCCCCACUCUUGUAAGCCGUAACCCUCUCUCCCGACCCGCCGUGGUGCCGUCUGUUCUUCUUAGCCACAAUCUCCCGCCGUCUGCUCUUCCAAAAAACUCUGAUUUGACAGCCACGAUCUUCUCGUCCUCCAUUUGUACGACCUCUUCCUCUUUAUUUCUCUACAUAAGUAUUUCUCCCUCUUCAAACUUUCUCUACACUCAUAGUUCCUAUUUCUGACCACGAUCGACACAUCGUUUCUUGCGUUGGAUUCAUCUCUUCCUCUUGUUGAUCUGUUCAGUUUUACAUUGUCCAGAAACACAUUCAUCUGAGCGAGUCGAAUCCCCAAAGUCUGUCAUUUUCUGGCGAUUUAUAUGACGGCGCAGAAGCAAUGGACGCUAGAGAUUCAGAUUCAGUAAACGAUGAGGAGUCCAUUGUGCAUGGCAUCACACUCGCAAUAAGGUGGGCAUUGGGAUCCCUUGCAUAUAGUCUCAUCUAAUCUCCUUAUUGUUAGUGCCUAUAGGCAUGGCACAUAGCAAGAGUAGUCUUCGUCAGUGGCCGGCUGUACCAUUCUUGCACAGCUAGAAGAUUGAUUUGUGUUUUGGUUCUAAAUUCUAAUCAAGCAAUUGUGGGAUUGAGUCCCACUGGGCGUUCAACCUUUUUUUCACUUAAAAAAAGUAUUAUGUUUUUUAUUUAAUUA